rnacentral:tRNA from 1 species
GACGGUUUGGUUGAGUGGUCCAAGGUGCCAGAUUUAGGCUCUGUACCGAUAGGGCGUGGGUUCAAAUCCCACAGCUGUCA